rnacentral:rRNA from 1 species
UACAGAGGGUGCGCGCGUUAAUCGGAAUUACUGGGCGUAAAGCGCGCGUAGGCGGCUUUGCAAGUCGGGUGUGAAAUCCCCAGGCUUAACCUGGGAACUGCAUUCGAGACUGCAUUGCUAGAGUAUGGGAGAGGGAAGUGGAAUUUCCGGUGUAGCGGUGAAAUGCGUAGAUAUCGGAAGGAACAUCAGUGGCGAAAGCGACUUCCUGGACCAAUACUGACGCUCAUGUGCGAAAGCGUGGGGAGCAAACAGG